rnacentral:rRNA from 1 species
GACGUAGGAUGCAAGCGUUGUCCGGAUUUAUUGGGCGUAAAGAGUUCGUAGGCGGUUCGUUAAGUCUGAUGUUAAAGACUGGGGCUCAACCCCGGGAGUGCAUUGGAUACUGGCGGACUGGAGUGUGGUAGAGGCUAGUGGAAUUCCCAGUGUAGCGGUGAAAUGCGUAGAUAUUGGGAAGAACACCAGUGGCGUAGGCGACUAGCUGGGCCAUAACUGACGCUGAGACGCGAAAGCGUGGGGAGCAAACAGG